GGUGGGAGUGCUCGAAAGAGAACCGGCGCACAGGUGCUGCAUGGCUGUCGUCAGCUCGUGUCGUGAGAUGUUGGGUUAAGUCCCGCAACGAGCGCAACCCUUGUCCUUAGUUGCUACGCAAGAGCACUCUAAGGAGACUGCCGGUGACAAACCGGAGGAAGGUGGGGAUGACGUCAAGUCCUCAUGGCCCUUAUGGGUAGGGCUUCACACGUCAUACAAUGGUCGGAACAGAGGGUUGCCAACCCGCGAGGGGGAGCUAAUCCCAGAAAACCGAUCGUAGUCCGGAUUGCACUCUGCAACUCGAGUGCAUGAAGCUGGAAUCGCUAGUAAUCGCGGAUCAGCAUGCCGCGGUGAAUACGUUCCC
rnacentral:rRNA from 1 species